UACUAUUAUAGUAAUAAUGGGCCAAACCCAAAUUUCUAUUGUUUUACCCUAAAUGUGAGGAUAAAAUACAAAACUAUAACCCUAAUUUCUACCCUUUUACAGUUUCACUCUCAAACUCUCUCUCUCUCUAACUGCGCCGCUUCUCGUUCUUCCUCUAAUCCUCUCAUCCUCUGCUGAUCUGCUCAACAUUCUUCGUUCACUUCGGUUCCUCUUCAUUCAGUCUGAACUGCAGAAGGGGGUUGUCAAUUUGAGGAAAUUUGCAUCUGCUCAUUACAAUUGUCAACAAGCGUAGAACUUCAACAUAUAUUUUAGAUUUUCAGAUGUCGAUUGAUGUAAUUUAUGUAGCGUAAAUGUUAUUUUGUUCAUUUGAUAUAAUAUACAACGUUGAUAUCUA